AGGGAAUCUUCCACAAUGGACGAAAGUCUGAUGGAGCAACGCCGAGUGAGUGAUGAAGGUUUUCGGAUCGUAAAACUAUGUUGUAAGGGAAGAACCAGUACGUCAGGCAAUGGACGUACCUUGACGGUACCUUAUUAGAAAGCCACGGCUAACUACGUGCCAGCAGCCGCGGUAAUACGUAGGUGGCAAGCGUUGUCCGGAAUUAUUGGGCGUAAAGCGCGCGCAGGUGGUUUCUUAAGUCUGAUGUGAAAGCCCACGGCUUAACCGUGGAGGGUCAUUGGAAACUGGCAGACUUGAGUGCAGAAGAGGAAAGUGGAAUUCCAAGUGUAGCGGUGAAAUGCGUAGAGAUCUGGACGAAUACCGGUGGCGAAGGCGGCCCCCUGGACGAAGACUGACGCUCAGGCACGAAAGCGUGGGGAGCAAACA
rnacentral:rRNA from 1 species